rnacentral:rRNA from 1 species
AUGCCAUGCGUGCGACCCGGCUCGUCCUCCAGCACCGUCUCCGCACGCGCCAACCAGCAGCUGCUAAACAAACUCAAGGAUCAUCUGGACUCUGGGACGCUCCAGCCGGAGCGCGCACACCAACUGUUCGACAAAUUGCUGCGCCAAACGGUUCCGGUAUCAGCGUGCGCACUCAACGGCUUAUUUGCUUCCCUCGCGCGUGCGCUGCCCUCCGCUGCCUGCACCGACGGCCCUGCUCUAGCCAUUGCUCUCUUUAACCGCAUGGCUCGAGAAGGCCACCAGGUGAUAACGCCCAACAUUUUCACCUACAGCAUACUAAUUGACUGCUGCUGCCGCUCGCGCCGCCCAGAGCUAGGGCCCGCCUUCUUUGGCCGCCUCCUCAAGACAGGCCUCAUGGCGAACGUCGUUACCUUCACCAGCCUAUUCAAGUGCCUCUGUGACAUGAAGCGGAUGGACGAGGCUGUGGGAGUGCUGCUUCACAGGAUGCCCGGAGACAUGCCUGAUGUCAUCUCCUACUCAACAAUCCUCAAGGGCUUCUGCAAUGAGGGGAGGAGCCAGCUUGCACUUAAUCUGCUCCAGAUGAUGGUCAAAAAAGGAGCUGGCCACUCACCCAACGUGGUAUCAUACAACAUGGUAAUCGAUGGCUUCUUUAAGGAGGGUGAAGUAAGCAAAGCAUGCAAUCUAUUCCAUGAAAUGAAACAGCGGGGGGUCGUGCCUGAUGUGUGGACAUAUAAUUCCAUUAUUGAUGCAAUGUGCAAAGCAAGAGCAAUGGACAAGGCAAAAUUGGUCCUAAGACAAAUGGUUGAUAGUGGGGUUCAACCGGAUAUUGUGACAUAUAAUAAACUGAUCCAUGGAUAUUCCAUUUCGGGCCAGUUUGAAGAGGUCGUUAGGUUGUUGGACAAAAUGAGAAGUCAAGGCGUCAAACCAACUGUUUUUACUUGCAACACAGUCAUGGACUACCUUUGCAAGCAUGGAAGAAUCAAAGAAGCUGCAGAAUUUUUUUAUUCCAUGGUUGAGAAGGGCCAUAAACCUAAUAUAGUCUCAUAUGCUAUUAUGUUUCGUGGGUACGCUAAAGAAGGAUCCCUUGUUGAAAUGACUGAUCUCUGUGAGCUGAUGGCAAGAGAUGGUAUUGUACCCGAUCUCCAUUGUUUCAACAUACUGAUUAAUGCAUAUGCUAAGUGUGGGAUGAUGGAUGUGGCUAUUCUUUUCUUCAAAGACAUGUUGAAGCAGGGAGUGAACCCUGAUGAAGUCACAUAUUUAGCUGUGAUAGCCGGGUAUUGCAGAGUGGGCAUGAUGGAUGAUGCUAUGGAAAAUUUCAAUGAGAUGAUCGGUAUGGGAGUACCACAUAACGCAACUGUUUACAGGUGCAUGAUUCAGGGUUACUUAAAUCAUGGUGAUUUCUUGAAAGCAAGGGAAUUGAUUACUGAAAUGAAGACCAAGGGUAUCCAUCCUAGACCGCGGAAAAGCCAAGGAAUUGAUCCAGGGUACCUCAUGACGCAACUGUUUACAGGUGCAUGA